AGCAGUAGCCGCGGUAAUACGGAGGGUGCGAGCGUUAAUCGGAAUUACUGGGCGUAAAGCGUACGCAGGCGGUUUGUUAAGUCAGAUGUGAAAUCCCCGAGCUUAACUCGGGAACUGCAUUUGAGACUGGCAGGCUAGAGCCUCGUAGAGGGGGGUAGAAUUCCAGGUGUAGCGGUGAAAUGCGUAGAGAUCUGGAGGAAUACCGGUGGCGAAGGCGGCCCCCUGGACGAAGACUGACGCUCAGGUACGAAAGCGUGGGGAGCAAACAGGAUUAGAUACCCGUGUAGUCCCUGUCUCUUAUAA
rnacentral:rRNA from 1 species